rnacentral:rRNA from 1 species
CGUAGUCCAUGCCGUAAACGAUGUGUGUUAGACGUUGGAAAUUUAUUUUCAGUGUCGCAGCGAAAGCGAUAAACACACCGCCUGGGGAGUACGACCGCAAGGUUAAAACUCAAAUGAAUUGACGGGGACCCGCACAAGUAGUGGAGCAUGUGGUUUAAUUCGAAGAUACGCGCAGAACCUUACCAACACUUGACAUGUUCGUCGCGACUUUAAGAGAUUAAAGUUUUCGGUUCGGCCGGACGAAACACAGGUGCUGCAUGGCUGUCGUCAGCUCGUGUCGUGAGAUGUUGGGUUAAGUCCCGCAACGAGUGCAACCCUCACUUUUAGUUGCCAUCAUUUAGUUGGGCACUCUGAAAGAACUGCCAGUGAUAAGCUGGAGGAAGGUGGGGAUGACGUCAAGUCCUCAUGGCCCUUACGUGUUGGGCUACACACGUGCUACAAUGGUAUUUACAACAGGAAGCAAGACGGCGACGUCGAGCAAAUCCUCAAAAAAUACCUCAGUUCGGAUUGCACUCUGCAACUCGAGUGCAUGAAGCUGGAAUUACUAGUAAUCGUGGAUCAGCGUGCCACGGUGAAUGCGUUCCCGGGUCUUGUACACACCGCCCGUCACACCAUGGGAGUUGGUUCUACCUUAAGGCAAGGUUUAAAACCCUUGACCACGGUAUAGUCAGCGACUGGGGUGAAGUCGUAACAAGGUAGCCGUA